rnacentral:misc_RNA from 1 species
UGUAACUUGGCAGUCUUUUUUUCUAUGCCUGCUAUUGACCGCUCCACCGCCUGAAUGAAAUCAAUUUUUUCCACUAAUAAUUUGUUUUCCCUUCCAGCCAACAAAGCAGCUUCAUUUACUAGAUUUGCAAGAUCAGCCCCAGUAAAACCAGUGGUCAUAGAUGCAAUGUCACUAAGGUCAACAUCCUCGCCAAGAGGAAGCUCUUUCUUGGAAGCAUGCACUUUUAAAAUGGCUUCUCUUCCAUUCCUAUCAGGCGUUUCCACCAUAACCACACGAUCAAAUCUUCCUGGUCGGCGAAGUGCAGGAUCUAAGACAUCUGAUCUAUUUGUUGCACCAAGAACAAU